rnacentral:rRNA from 1 species
GACGGAGGAUGCAAGCGUUAUCCGGAAUGAUUGGGCGUAAAGCGUCUGCAGGUGGCAGUUCAAGUCUGCUGUCAAAGACCGGGGCUUAACUUCGGAAAGGCAGUGGAAACUGAACAGCUAGAGUAUGGUAGGGGCAGAGGGAAUUCCUGGUGUAGCGGUGAAAUGCGUAGAGAUCAGGAAGAACAUCGGUGGCGAAGGCGCUCUGCUGGACCAUAACUGACGCUGAGGCGCGAAAGCUAGGGGAGCAAACGGG